GGACUUUUUGGUGGAAUUGGGGGUUUUUUUAUGGAUUUGGGAUUUUUUUGCCAGAUUUACCAUUAUUUUUUGGUGGGAUUUGGGAUUUUGGGGGGGAUUUGGGAUUUUUUGCAGGAUUUGGGAUUUUUUUUUUUUUGUGGCAUUUUUGGGGUUUUUUUGUUGCUAUUUGGGUUUUUCAAUCCCUGUGGAUUCGGGGGAUUUUUGGGAAUGUUGGGAACGUUUGGAUCCCGUGGUUCCCCCCUGGGUGAUCCCAAGGUUCCUCACUGGGGUUUGUGGGAUCCCUGCCUCAGUUUCCCUUUGGAACGCCGGGGCCUCCGUCCCCAUUUCAGGGCCCGUUCCCGUUAUCCCAACCCCAUUCCAGUUUAUCCCAACCCCAUUCCAGUUUAUCCCGGCCCCAUUCCCAAUCCCAUUCCCAGUUCCCAUUCCCAGUUCCCAUUCCCAGUUCCCAUUCCCAGUUCCCAUUCCAGGUUCCCAUUCCCAGUUCCCAUUCCCAGUUCCCAUUCCCAGUUCCCAUUCCCAAUAUCCCAACCCCAUUCCCAAUAUCCCAACCCCAUUCACAAUAUCCCGGCCCCAUUCCCAGUAUCCCAAUCCCUUUCCCAAUUGUCCCAAUCCCAAUCCCAGUUCCCAAUCCCAGUUCCCAAACCCAUUCCAGUUUAUCCCAAUCCCAUUCCCAGUUCCCGAUCCCAUUCCUGGUUCCCAUUCCCAGUUCCCAUUCCCAAUAUCCCGGCCCCAUUCCCAGUAUCCCAAUCCCUUUCCCAAUUGUCCCAAUCCCAUUCCCAGUUCCCAUUCCCAUUCCCAAUCCCAUUCCCAGUUCUCCCAGCCCUUUUCCCCAUUAUCCCAAUCCCAGUCCCCAGUUCCCAAUCCCAUUUUUCCCAUUAAAAAAAAACA
rnacentral:lncRNA from 1 species